rnacentral:rRNA from 1 species
GGCUAACUCCGUGCCAGCAGCCGCGGUAAUACGGAGGAUCCAAGCGUUAUCCGGAUUUAUUGGGUAUAAAGGGUGCGUAGGUGGCUUUUUAAGUCAGGGGUGAAAGACGGUAGCUUAACUAUCGCAGUGCCUUUGAUACUGAAGAGCUUGAAUGAACUAGAGGUAGGCGGAAUGUGACAAGUAGCGGUGAAAUGCAUAGAUAUGUCACAGAACACCAAUUGCGAAGGCAGCUUACUAUGGUUUUAUUGACACUGAGGCACGAAAGCGUGGGGAUCAAACAGGAUUAGAUACCCUGGUAGUCCACGCCCUAAACGAUGAAUACUCGAUGUUGGCGAUAUACGGUCAGCGUCUAAGCGAAAGCGUUAAGUAUUCCACCUGGGGAGUACGCCCGCAAGGGUGAAACUCAAAGGAAUUGACGGGGGCCCGCACAAGCGGAGGAGCAUGUGGUUUAAUUCGAUGAUACGCGAGGAACCUUACCCGGGCUUGAAAGUUAGUGAAUAAAGCAGAGACGCUUUAGUCCUUCGGGACACGAAACUAGGUGCUGCA